UACGAAGGUCCCGAGCGUUGUUCGGAAUCACUGGGCGUAAAGGGCGCGUAGGCGGCGCGGUAAGUCAGAUGUGAAAUCCCGGGGCUCAACCCCGGAACUGCAUUCGAUACUGCCGUGCUUGAGGACUGGAGAGGAGACUGGAAUUUACGGUGUAGCGGUGAAAUGCGUAGAUAUCGUAAGGAAGACCAGUGGCGAAGGCGGGUCUCUGGACAGUUCCUGACGCUGAGGCACGAAGGCCAGGGGAGCAAACGGG
rnacentral:rRNA from 1 species